GAUGAACGCUGGCGGCGCGCCUAACACAUGCAAGUCGAACGGUAACAGGUUAAGCUGACGAGUGGCGAACGGGUGAGUAAUGUAUCGGAACGUGCCCAGUCGUGGGGGAUAACUGCUCGAAAGAGCAGCUAAUACCGCAUACGACCUGAGGGUGAAAGCGGGGGAUCGCAAGACCUCGCGCGAUUGGAGCGGCCGAUAUCAGAUUAGGUAGUUGGUGAGGUAAAGGCUCACCAAGCCGACGAUCUGUAGCUGGUCUGAGAGGACGACCAGCCACACUGGGACUGAGACACGGCCCAGACUCCUACGGGAGGCAGCAGUGGGGAAUUUUGGACAAUGGGCGCAAGCCUGAUCCAGCCAUGCCGCGUGCGGGAAGAAGGCCUUCGGGUUGUAAACCGCUUUUGUCAGGGAAGAAAAGGUUCCGGCUAAUACCUGGGACUCAUGACGGUACCUGAAGAAUAAGCACCGGCUAACUACGUGCCAGCAGCCGCGGUAAUACGUAGGGUGCAAGCGUUAAUCGGAAUUACUGGGCGUAAAGCGUGCGCAGGCGGUUACGCAAGACAGAGGUGAAAUCCCCGGGCUCAACCUGGGAACUGCCUUUGUGACUGCAUGGCUAGAGUACGGUAGAGGGGGAUGGAAUUCCGCGUGUAGCAGUGAAAUGCGUAGAUAUGCGGAGGAACACCGAUGGCGAAGGCAAUCCCCUGGACCUGUACUGACGCUCAUGCACGAAAGCGUGGGGAGCAAACAGG
rnacentral:rRNA from 1 species